rnacentral:rRNA from 1 species
AACGAACGCUGGCGGCAUGCCUAACACAUGCAAGUCGAACGAGACCGUCGGGUCUAGUGGCGCACGGGGGCGUACCGCGGGGGAACUUGCCCUUAGGUUCGGAAUAACUCCCCGAAAGGGGUGCUAAUACCGGAUAGUGUCUUCGGACCAAAGACUUAUCGCCUUUGGAUGGGCCCGCGUAGGAUUAGGCAGUUGGUAGGGUAAAAGCCUACCAAGGCGACGAUGCAUAGCUGGUCUGAGAGGAUGCCCAGCCACACUGGGGCUGCGACCCGGCCCAGUCUCCUACGCGAGGCAGCAGAGGGGAAUAUUGGAGACUGGACGCAGGCGUGAUCCAGCAAUGCCGCGUGAGUCAUGAAGGCCUUAGGAUUGUAAAGCUGUUUUACCCGAGAUGAUAAUGACAGUACCGGGAGAAUAAGCUCCGGCUAACUACGUG